AUGCUUUCCUACGGGACAUUUAUCUAUUUUUCAGGUCUCCCCUAUAUUAAAAUAAUUUCUGGUCUGGACUGUUUCACUGAAGAACCCCCAGGAAGAAAUCACCUGUUCUGCCCGCGUCGUGGAGAGCGCACCUCCCAGCUGCACGCCCUAGACAGGACCAAGCUUCCGGAGCCCAGCUCUGUCGUUGACCCUGCGAGUGCAGCUGCCCCAGAGACACCUGGUGCCUCGGAUUCCUGGACCUUUGGGGGCCGCUUUGGAAUAAACCCAUUGCGGCUCGGCUUUUCCCUGUGGGGGUAUGGUUUAGCUUAGCUUCCAAAUUUUUUUUUGCUGCUGAAGUCUCCUUUCUCUUUGUCCUUCUGGAUUUAUGCCUUAUGGGGAAGAUCGAUCCAAAGUGAUGGCAGGAGCCAUUUGGGAGGGAGGGAAAGGACCACCCUGCACCGGCCCCCCACCUUUGCCACACACCGCUGGCCGGUUUUGUGAAAGAUUCUGUCUGAAUGAACGAACUCAGGGUCCGUCCGCAGCAUUCUAAAGCAGCAGAGAUCUCAGACCUAUAUAUAUUCUUCCUCUUUCUUCACUCCUUCCUCUCUUCCCUCCGUCCCUUCUUCUUUCCUUCCUCCCUCCCUCCUCCCUUCCUCCCUCCUUCCCUUCCUUCCGUCUCUUCCUCCCUCCCUCCUUCUCUCCCUCCCCUUUUUGUUUCAGCCUCCGGUCUAUGAGAAAGAGAAGACAGCCAGGGAACGUUGCACUUUAAAUACGGUUGAUCUACCCUCGUGAAUGAUAAGCCAGCCAAGCCCUAUUUUACAGCCAUUUAUUUGCAUUUUCUGAACUCACCCACUGUUUCACUCCAUCGGCUUUAGCCUUUUUCUCUAAAGCUGUAUAGCCUUGCUUUCACUUUCCCCAAACUUGCCCUUUAUACUUAGAAACUCAGUUUUUAUCUUUCUUCCACGGUGAUUGCUAUCUUGUUUCCAAAAGAAAGAAGAACAAGAAAGAAAAGAAAGGAAGGAAAACCACGAUAAAGAGCAGUUAGGCGGAAAGGCAGUGGCCGUGUUGAUGAAAUCUGGGGGACUCGGGGAAAACGUGUCAUGAGCAAUCCCAGGCCACUUCAGCUAGUGGUGCUGGCCGUGUACAAACAUCUGGGGUAUUUGCAGAUAUCUUCACCCUGGGAUGGAAAGUUGGGAGCAACCAUCCGGAUGUCUGGCUACAUGUUUCAUUUUUUAGAUGGAUUUUUAAGAGUGCCGUGUAGGAACUUCCAGCAGUGAGGCAACAUACAGUAAAUUCAGCAACGCUUUUAUUGAUACGCUGUGAAUCAAUAUCUAAGUGGCAGAAUUAUAUACAUAGCUAGCACAAGCACGUAAAAAUUAUUGUCGUGUGUUAAAAAGUAUUAAUUCAGAGGGGCGCCUGGGUGGCUCAGUCGGUUGAGCGUCCGACUUCGGCUCAGGUCAUGAUCUCCCGGUUUGGGAGUUCGAGCCCCGCGUCGGGCUCUGGGCUGACGGCUCGGAGCCUGGAGCCUGCUUCGGAUUCUGGGUCCCCCGCUCUCUCUGCCCCUGCCCUGCUCAUGCUGUGUCUCUCAAAAAUAAAUAAACGGUAAAAGAAUUUUUUUUUAAGUAU
rnacentral:lncRNA from 1 species